GUCUUCGUGGAGUAAACGAAACUCGCUUCCAUGCCAUAGCUGGCCGUACAGGAAAGUCACGGAAGAGCUGGUGGUUCGAUCCCGCCCGAAGACC